rfam:Parcubacteria bacterium GW2011_GWA2_47_10 TX72_C0009, whole genome shotgun sequence.
GCCUCCGUAGUGAAAUGGAUAUCACACCAGCCUUCGAAGCUGUUGUUGGGGGUUCGAAUCCCUCCGGAGGCA